UACGUAGGGGGCAAGCGUUGUCCGGAAUCAUUGGGCGUAAAGAGCGUGUAGGCGGCUCGGUAAGUCCGCUGUGAAAGUCCAGGGCUCAACCCUGGAAUGCCGGUGGAAACUGUCGAGCUAGAGUCCGGAAGAGGCGAGUGGAAUUCCUGGUGUAGCGGUGAAAUGCGCAGAUAUCAGGAGGAACACCGAUGGCGAAGGCAGCUCGCUGGGACGGUACUGACGCUGAGGCGCGAAAGCCAGGGGAGCGAACGGG
rnacentral:rRNA from 1 species